rnacentral:misc_RNA from 1 species
GAUGAAGAACGCAGCGAAAUGCGAUACGUAAUGUGAAUUGCAGAAUUCAGUGAAUCAUCGAGUCUUUGAACGCACAUUGCGCCCCCUGGUAUUCCGGGGGCAUGCCUGUCCGAGCGUCAUUGCUGCCCUCAAGCCCGGCUUGUGUGUUGGGUCUCGUCCCCCUUCCCGGGGGGACGGGCCCGAAAGGCAGCGGCGGCACCGCGUCCGGUCCUCGAGCGUAUGGGGCUUUGUCACCCGCUCUGUAGGCCCGGCCGGCGCUUGCCGAUCAACCAAAACUUUUUUCCAGGUUGACCUCGGAUCAGGUAGGGAUACCCGCUGAACUUAAGCAUAUCAAUAAGCGGAGGA